CGCGCCCUGCGCCGCCAACCGGUCCGCGUCCAAUCCUGUUAGGAUCCCCACCGGCCCUUCUGACGGCCACCUGGACCUGCUUGGGGAAAGGCUGAGACCGCAGACUACCACGCGGAUUGAUCCGGGUCCCCCGGCUGCCGACGCGUCCGGGGCGCACAUGAAAAUCGUCGCUCUGAUCGGUCGCCAUGAGCUGACGANCGCGCGCAAGAGCCGCGAGACUUCGAUUGUAGAAAAUCGUAAUGACGCGCACGAGAUCGAAUAAGAAGCGGGGACCCUUUGGUUGAAGUUCGCAAGCGCCAUCGCUUGGCCCGUUGAAAUUCCUCGUCAAGCUCGAAGGGCGCCAUCCGGCCUCGAUGAAACGUUGUUAACCG
rnacentral:misc_RNA from 1 species